AUUGAACGCUGGCGGCAGGCCCAACACAUGCAAGUCGAGCGGAUGAAGGGAGCUUGCUCCUGGAUUCAGCGGCGGACGGGUGAGUAAUGCCUAGGAAUCUGCCUGGUAGUGGGGGAUAACGUCCGGAAACGGGCGCUAAUACCGCAUACGUCCUGAGGGAGAAAGUGGGGGAUCUUCGGACCUCGCGCUAUCAGAUGAGCCUAGGUCGGAUUAGCUAGUUGGUGGGGUAAAGGCCUACCAAGGCGACGAUCCGUAACUGGUCUGAGAGGAUGAUCAGUCACACUGGAACUGAGACACGGUCCAGACUCCUACGGGAGGCAGCAGUGGGGAAUAUUGGACAAUGGGCGAAAGCCUGAUCCAGCCAUGCCGCGUGUGUGAAGAAGGUCUUCGGAUUGUAAAGCACUUUAAGUUGGGAGGAAGGGCAGUAAGUUAAUACCUUGCUGUUUUGACGUUACCAACAGAAUAAGCACCGGCUAACUUCGUG
rnacentral:rRNA from 1 species